UGACACUGUACUUUAUAUAGAAGAUCUAAUUUGCGUUUAGGGAGAGGACGAUAGUGCCCGGUUUCA
rnacentral:tRNA from 1 species